GCAGCGCAGGGGCUGCUGCUUCGCCACGAAGGAUUUCCCGUGCCGUGGGAGCGGGUUCAGGACCGCUGGUCGGACCUGAGAGUCCCAGCUGGCCCCCCUCCCCCCCACCAAGGCCUGCAGUGGAUAGAGCCUAGCAGAUCCUGGACAAUACUAUCCUAAAAGCUACAUCUCUGACAGUGAUUUCCAGCGACUUUGUCAACACGGUCCGCCCCCAGCAAGUAUAAGAGGAAAAACAACAAAUGUCUUUACUGCCUUGUCUUUCCCCCUUGCCACUUGUCAUUAUUCAAGUUUUGUAAGUUCCUGAUUUCCAUUCAGUGCAGCUGCAAGGUUACCAGCUGUGCUUGCGUUGCAAGACCUGUCACAGUUUGAUUAACUGCCUUCUUUCUGCUUCUGUAAGCCCUCUUGCCUGCCCCGCGAGUUUCACACCAUCAAAUUCCUGCUGCACCAUUCAAACUAGCCAACCCCCUUUCAGAAGUGUGUAUAAAAGUCAAGCCCCCUGUCUUUCUUCGGGGCUCAUGCUAGGCCCGAGUGCAUUCAAUAAAAUCCUUCUGUUCCACC
rnacentral:lncRNA from 1 species